AUGGAAUUUUGUGUUUGACGGAUCGAAGAUGUUGAGUGAUAAAUCUGGUUUUGAUGUCAUAUUUCUUUUGAACUUUUGAUAUGUGGUCAGUGAUGUUUUAAAUGAAAGGAAAGGACAACAGUGGCAAGUGUGGGAUUGCAUUCAGCCGCAUUGCUAUUGGAAGAGAGAAGAGCAGAGUUAACGUGUGUUAAUUCUGGAUUCAAUGACUCGGGCUGAGAUAGUUUUCCGGCUCUGUAAACAAGAGAUAGUUGACAACCGAUGAUUUUUGGGCAGGAUGGCGAUGUGACAAUGCAAUGUUUCUAAUGUAGGUGCAGAGUAAAAUGCGAGCUAGUUUCAGUUAAACUCUGAAGAAGAAGACAGUGAAAUGAUAGCAAUUUCGAUUCGACAACAACCGAAAUAGAAGGAAUCCCAAAGUUUUGUAAAUAUUAUUACUAUUUUAAAACUUUCGUUUCCCGACGGUGACGCAACAAAGCGUGGAAACAUCGAUAUAAAAAAAAUGGUGAUUCGUGGAUUUCUUCAAACAUACAAAACUUUUGUUGAACA